rnacentral:lncRNA from 1 species
UCCCUGCUUCCCACUCCCUAAUUGACUAAGGUGUGACAACUUCCUAUUUCUUCUUCCAUUAUAGGCCAAGAAAGACGUCCUACUCACGUAGCCGACCAGCCACCAUGAAGCCCUCCAAGAUUGAACCUGCCUUGACCUCCGACUCAUCGACAAGCAGUAAAAAAGGGGCAAAGAGGGAGCGUACCAUGUUCAAUGAAGUUCAGCUGGAUAUUCUCCUGGGGGAGUUUCAUAAGAACCCAUACCCUAACUACUCCGUCAGAAGUGAGCUUGCUAACCGCCUGGAUGUUCCCGAGUCUAGAAUACAGAAUUGGUUUCAAAACCGAAGAGCCAAACACUCAAGACAACUGAAGGAAAAAGAAAGUCUGAAUUUAUCGGGACAGCCCCAGGACCAGGGAGAACAGAGCUCCUUGGUUCAUGGCUUGAAAAAUCCUCAGACUUCGGCUGCCAGCCAGGUUCCGCAGGAAAGUCUCCCAGAGACCCAGUUAGCUUGGCCAAAUAGAUCCAGGUUCCCCUCAUCUAAGAUGACGAAGGUGACCCUUGGGGAGAGUCCUGGCUUCCCAGAGACGGUGGCGACGGCCUCGGCACUCACCAAGGAGGCUUCCGCGAGCCCAGGAGCCUGGCUUCAGCCUCCUGCCCUGACUGUGGAGUCUCAUCCCUGUUUAAAGUCCCAGGCCUGGGGCAGCUCCCCCCAGAGCACACCCUCCCGGCUCCAGACCCUGAAGAGAGGACAGCAGCCCGAGAGGCAGCUGUGGCUUGAGUACCUCCGCCAGCUUCACGAGCAGUCACAGCAGUAUCCCUGGAUGCAGGAGUAUCUGGAGUACCUGCAGCAGCACCCAGUUCCAGUAGCACCGGCCCUAGCCCCCAGCCCGCCGGCAUCUCCCCUUGCAGAUACUCUUCCCAGUGCCUCAGCAUCCCUGGCCACAGAAGCCGCCGGGCCAGAGACCACUCCUGCCAAAUGAGUCCUCCCUCAGCCCGAAGUUGCAGGAGCGUCUGCAGUUACUUAGUAUCUCAACCAUUAUGGAACUCUUUCUUGUCCCAUUUCCCCCCCCCCCCCCCCCCCCCCCCCGCCCCAGCCUGUGAUCCGUGACCUGGUCGGCUUCCUGGGACCAGGCGGCUGUUUUUCCUAAAUUGUCUCUUUGACGUACUUUGAGUUGAACAGUGGAUUCCCCUUUUGUUGUAGAAGAACAGAUCUGUGCUCUGAGGUUGGUGAUGGAACUUGGGAGUGCCUGAGUCUGAGCUGAGUGGGUGGGUAGCCGUGGUUUUCCCUCUAGUUCUGCUCCAUAGUCAAUAAUUCAGAAUGAUGCCACCGUUUAGAGCAGCAGCGAUAAGCUCAAAGAGUGAUGCUCAUCUCUUAAUUAACAGGAUUAGCAAUGGACCAAGGAAGAAUGGUACAAGAGACCUGGGUGGUCUGCAUUGGCCUGUUCCAGAUGAAGGAAGAGCUUCCUGGCGCUGUCCCUGCCUUCCCAGCCAGUACGUGGGCCAUCAGUGCUUGUUCAGGGCACUCAUUUAGACGGUACUCUGACAGCAUCUCAGAAAUGGAAACCCUCGUAUUUCUUUUACAUUCACCCGACAAAUAUCCACCCUACAACGAGAUUUUUCUCUUAGCUGACGUUUAAAAAAACCCACCUAAUUGGUUGCCGAUAUUUGUUACUUAGAUAUUACUCAAAGACCGUCUCAGGAGGGCAUGGUUUGGAAUAAAUGUGUAUUAAGUGGGCA